GUUUGCUUGUGUGUAGAUGGUGUUCAGCACCAAGGACUGGUACGUUUGCUUGUGUGUAGAUGGUGUUCAGCACCAAGGACAGGUACGUUUGCUU
rnacentral:pre_miRNA from 1 species